rnacentral:rRNA from 1 species
GUGGGGAAUAUUGGACAAUGGGCGAAAGCCUGAUCCAGCCAUGCCGCGUGUGUGAAGAAGGUCUUCGGAUUGUAAAGCACUUUAAGUUGGGAGGAAGGGCAGUAAGUUAAUACCUUGCUGUUUUGACGUUACCGACAGAAUAAGCACCGGCUAACUUCGUGCCAGCAGCCGCGGUAAUACGAAGGGUGCAAGCGUUAAUCGGAAUUACUGGGCGUAAAGCGCGCGUAGGUGGUUUUGUAAGUUGGAGGUGAAAUCCCCGGGCUCAACCUGGGAACGGCCUCCAAAACUGCAUGACUAGAGUACGGUAGAGGGUAGUGGAAUUUCCUGUGUAGCGGUGAAAUGCGUAGAUAUAGGAAGGAACACCAGUGGCGAAGGCGACUACCUGGACUGAUACUGACACUGAGGUGCGAAAGCGUGGGGAGCAAACAGGAUUAGAUACCCCGGUAGUCC